UACGUAGGGGGCUAGCGUUGUCCGGAAUCAUUGGGCGUAAAGCGCGCGUAGGCGGCCCGGUAAGUCCGCUGUGAAAGUCAAAGGCUCAACCUUUGAAUGUCAGCGGAUACUGCCGGGCUAGAGUCCGGAAGAGGCGAGUGGAAUUCCUGGUGUAGCGGUGGAAUGCGCAGAUAUCAGGAGGAACACCACGGCGAAGGCAGCUCGCUGGGACGGUACUGACGCUGAGGCGCGAAAGCGUGGGGAGCGAACAGG
rnacentral:rRNA from 1 species